UUAAAUUGAGAGUUUGAUCCUGGCUCAGGACGAACGCUGGCGGCGUGCCUAACACAUGCAAGUCGAGCGAUGAUUCGCUUCUUCGGAAGCGAUGAUUAGCGGCGGACGGGUGAGUAACACGUGGGUAACCUGCCUCAAAGAGGGGAAUAGCCUCCCGAAAGGGAGAUUAAUACCGCAUAAUAUGUUUUGGUCGCAUGACCGAGACAUCAAAGGAUUUUCUUCGGAGCUUCCACUUUGAGAUGGACCCGCGGCGCAUUAGCUAGUUGGUGAGGUAACGGCCCACCAAGGCAACGAUGCGUAGCCGACCUGAGAGGGUGAUCGGCCACAUUGGAACUGAGACACGGUCCAGACUCCUACGGGAGGCAGCAGUGGGGAAUAUUGCGCAAUGGGGGAAACCCUGACGCAGCAACGCCGCGUGAAUGAUGAAGGCCUUCGGGUUGUAAAGUUCUGUCUUCUGGGACGAUAAUGACGG
rnacentral:rRNA from 1 species